AGUGAACGCUGGCGGUAGGCCUAACACAUGCAAGUCGAACGGCAGCACAGUAAGUGCUUGCUGUUACGGGUGGGGAGUGGCGUACGGAUGAGGUAUAUAUCGGGACCUACUUUUUCGUGUGGGUUAAGGUAGGGGGACUUAAGCUAAUACAGGAUACGACCUAGGGUUGAAAGCAGGGGAUCUUCGGAGCGUGCGCGGAUGAAUGAGCGGAUGUUGGAGUAGCUGGUUGGCGGGGUAAAGGCCCAGGAGGGCGGCGAUAGGUAGCUGGUCUGAGAGAAGGAUCAGCCACACUGGAGGUGAGACAGCGUCCAUACUCCUACGGGACGCCGCAGUGGGGAAUAUUAGACAAUGGUCGCGAACCUGAUCCAGCCAUACCGCGUGGGUGAAGAAGGCCUUCGGGUUGUGAAGCCCUUUUGUUGGGAGAGAAAAGCAGCAGGUUAAUACCCCGCUGGUCUGACGGUACCCAAAGAAUAAGCACCGGCUAACUUCGUG
rnacentral:rRNA from 1 species